AGAACGUCCACACAAGCGCCUAGCUUCAACGUGUCGAUUGGGCAAGUCUCUGGCUUAGGUGGAGUUGGUGUUGGCGGUGUUACGACCGGUGGGCUUGGUGUUGGUGGCGUAACAACAGGUGGCGGUGGGCACGGUGAUGGCGGUGGCGGUGGGCACGGUGAUGGCGGCGUUACGACGGGUGGAGGCGUAUGAGUGGGUGGUUUAGGGGUGGACGGAGGUGGUUUAACAGUGGGCGGUUUCGUGGGUGGUUUCGGGGUAGACGGAGGAGGUUUAACGGUGGGCGGUUUCGUGGGUGGUUUCGGGGUGGACGGAGGUGGUUUAACGGUGGGCGGUUUCGUGGGUGGUUUCGGGGUGGGAUGAGGUUUGGUAGGGGGUUUCGGAUGUGGGUGUGGUUUGACAGUGGGCGGUUUGGUAGGGGGUUUAGGGUGUGGGUGUGGUUUGACGGUGGGUGGUUUGGGAGGUUUUACUGCCGGUGGUUUAGGCGGUUUGCUAGGAUGUUUAGGCGGUUUGUGGGGGUGAGGUGAUGGUUUAGGAGGGCUACAGUCGCAAGCGAAGGAGACGGCAAGAAAGCCAAGGAAGAGGAAGAUAAGAAAAGAGAGGUUUUGUGUACGAGACCCCAUUUUUCUAGAGUGAGGGUGUGGUUUACCCAAAGGACUGAGUAAGAAAGAUAUAUGAGUGUAUCAUUUUAUAGAAAGAUAUUAAAAUAUAUUUGCUAUAUAUAAUUUUCAAAUAUGCAUUUUGUGACUAGAUUAUUGAAACUGAAUUUCAGUUUUUGUUUUUGUUUUGAAAUCUAGAUUUUGUAGCAUGUGUUAAGUCACUUAGUUACAACUUACAAGUUGUCAUUU
rnacentral:lncRNA from 1 species